GUUAGGAAUAUUCGUCAAUGGGGGAAACCCUGAACGAGCAAUGCCGCGUGAGUGAUGACGGUCUUUAUGAUUGUAAAACUCUGUUGUAUGGGAAGAACACUAGAUAUAGGAAAUGAUAUCUAGCUGACGGUACCAUGCCAGAAAGCCCCGGCUAACUACGUGCCAGCAGCCGCGGUAAUACGUAGGGGGCGAGCGUUAUCCGGAUUUAUUGGGCGUAAAGCGUGUGUAGGCGGUUUAUUAAGUAUAAGAUUAAAGCCUGGGGCUUAACUCCAGUUCGUCUUAUAAACUGGUAGACUUGAGUGUGGUAGAGGCAAAUGGAAUUUCUAGUGUAGCGGUAAAAUGCGUAGAUAUUAGAAGGAACACCGGUGGCGAAGGCGAUUUGCUGGGCCAUUACUGACGCUGAGACACGAAAGCGUGGGGAGCGAAUAGGAUUAGAUACCCUAGUAGUCC
rnacentral:rRNA from 1 species